GAUUCUGAGGCCUCCCCAGCCAUGUGGAACUCUUGUGUUGUGUUUUUAAUGGGAGAGUUGGUCAGCGUCUGCUAGAACAGAGCUACGUCUAUGGAACCGUAGACUUGUUCGUGCUUUAUUGCAAUACUUUAAAGACACAAAGUCUCAACAACCAUCUUCCGCUUGACGAGACAGAUCAUUCUAAUUUGAGCAGAAGCUACUAUGUCCUGCCCUUUGAACGCGGCGGCCCGGAAAGCUGACAAGGACACACUGUGUAUUUCCAUUCCAAUUCUGGGAGUGCUCUGAGGCCUCUGGGGGAGAAGGACCCAUGAAAUAUUCAAAACAUAAGUGAAUAAAAUAUCUAGGUGCUAGAUAUGGGCCAGGAAGAGCCCUUGGCCCUGCAAAGUGUGUGUGAUGGUGAGAAGCUACCAGAAGAGAUGGUCCCUGUUCUUGGUUCAUUCCUUGGACAUUUAUCAAGCUGACGAAUGUAGCAGAGGUGCUUCAGUCGGCUGUAAUUCCACAGGUGGAGUGCUGGCUGGAGAGUUACCUGGGGCUGUCACACUGCAUGGGCUCCGGGACACUGUGGCUGCCCUUAUGUGGUGUCCCCAGAGGGCCCUGCAGGUGUCACACCGCUGCUCCACACUGCCACCUGCUGUCAGCACCUGUGCAACGUAUCCAGGUCUCUGGGGGCUAGAAUGAAAAACAUGCAUCUCGUAACCAAUGAAAUCAGGCUUGUCCUGAAGACCUCGUGCAUUCAUCCAUUCUCACACUGCUAUAAAGACAUACCUAAGACUGGGCACUUCAUGAAGAAAAGAGGUUUAAUUGGCUCACAGUUCUGCAGG
rnacentral:lncRNA from 1 species